GUGGCUGAUUACCAAAUUGGGAGAAGUAAUUGCGAAAAGGCGUCGUUACUGUAGAAACUUUUGGAGCAUUAAUGAUUUUAUACUCCAAAAUUGGGGGGCAUGUGUGGACACCGUUUCUGGACACGUAUCUUUUUAUACGCAUCCGAAUUAAUGGGAUGUAGAUCGGUAGGUGGAGCAGUGGUGACCAGUCUACAGGGGAGUUGCCGAUAAAGGUGGUUGCCGAUGGGAAACAACCGGAUAUGACUAAGUCCAGAAGUGGUGAAGUAUUCGUGCCAAUGACCAAUGCCGGUGUUUGCCGAUGACUGUAGACGGGUAAUCUGCCGAUGACUCUGAAGAAAAGCGUGGAAGUUGCUGAUUAAUUCAUGGUGGUGUCCCGAUCAGUUACGGAGAUAGUUUAAUGCUUUCCUUAGUUAUUAGAAUUCGUUUUGUAUACGGUCUCCAUUUCGUUUGGAGUUUGAGUCCUAGUUGUGUCUGGUUAUAGCUCUUUGGACAGGGUAUAAAUGUAGACCCUAGGACAAUGUAAAGAGACAUCUAUCAAUGAAUCAAACACAAGUUUUUACUCAUAUUCCAGCAUCUACUUUUCGACGACCUUGUCAUAUUUUCCUUUUUACUACGAGUCCUUAGGAAUUCGUCGAGUCAAACUCGGCGUAUUCUCAAGUUCCGCGUGAGCACCUCUUGGCCGUGACAUCCGGGCGCAUCGCUGUUGUCGGGACCAAAGUGUUCAAGUUACCACCUUUAUCGAUGGUAAGGCAAAUCGGCUGGCACGCCUUGACGUUUGAAUCGGGUAUUAGCCCUUUGUGUUUGCAGAUCAGCUUUUGCACCAAGAAGUUUAUGGAGCUAUAGAAAUUCAGAAAAUGGAUUUUAUACAAAAAUCCCCAAAAUGAGUUGUAUUUCAAAAACCUAUAGCUAUUUUUGAGUUGUAUUUCAAAUUCUAUUUGGAAUUCGGGGUUUCAACUUAAAUCAAAGUUGUAGAACUUUUUAUUUGUGACAACUUUUGUUUUUGGGGGUAAAGCUGGAAAAGGUUUUAAAAUAGUCAAAAUGAAUUUGGAAAAAGAUUUGAGAAAAGAAAUUUAAAAAAAAAAGAAAAAGGGGGCAGGUGCUGCUGGGCCGACCCGCCUCCCUUUCGGCCUGCUCAGCCGCGCGGCCCAACUCCCCCUCCCCUCUCCCAC
rnacentral:lncRNA from 1 species